GAAUGGUCCCCUCACACGAUUGGCUGACUGGCGAUCGGUCAGCAUGAGAAUGGCCGACAGUCGGAGGAGAGUGCACCGCCAUCCCAAGGGUCCCAAAUCGAUGGUCGGCGACGACCACCGGCAUCUGAAAAUCAAAAAAAAUCAAAACCUCUCCCAUGAUAAAAUUCAAUAACUCCGAUCACCGACGAGCAUACACACCGGCACGGAAAGGAAGGGAG
rnacentral:lncRNA from 1 species